UCAAGGGCGUACAUAUCUUGCUUCUAGCAUUUCCCUGUACGUUAGCUAUGACCGCAAGGUAGCAAUGACGUUGGGCCAGUCAGCGCUGAGUCGUUUGAUCAACGAGCGCUGCUGGU
rnacentral:ncRNA from 1 species